AGUUCCAUGUGUAUGGCAUUUGCAAUGAAAGGUUUAUUUUUAACUUAUCUCUGUUAAACAGAUAACAUUUCCCCAAGACUAGAUAUAUUAUCAACUCUUUAUUUCCCUUGGCACUACUUAAUGUGACACCAGUAUAAUUCCAGGUCAGUAAAAACUAUUAUUGCUGUAUAAAAUUUGUUUUCGUUAUCUGUAGAAUGACAUUCCUGUCAAAUUAUUUUUAGAGAUGAAAAUAGGCUACAAAGUUCUUUGUAAACAUUAAUGCAAAACUCAACAGAGUAACCUGAAAUCAAAUGUGUGGCUAAACAAGCAUUUAUUCAUGUUUGAACUGUUUUUUUACAUUUUUGUUUGAGUUAUGAACAUUAUAAAUUGAAGUACAA